UAGUCCACGCCGUAAACGAUGUCUACUUGGAGGUUGUGGCCUUGAGCCGUGGCUUUCGGAGCUAACGCGUUAAGUAGACCGCCUGGGGAGUACGGUCGCAAGAUUAAAACUCAAAUGAAUUGACGGGGGCCCGCACAAGCGGUGGAGCAUGUGGUUUAAUUCGAUGCAACGCGAAGAACCUUACCUACUCUUGACAUCCUCAGAAGAGACUGGAGACAGUCUUGUGCCUUCGGGAACUGAGAGACAGGUGCUGCAUGGCUGUCGUCAGCUCGUGUUGUGAAAUGUUGGGUUAAGUCCCGCAACGAGCGCAACCCUUAUCCUUGUUUGCCAGCGAGUCAUGUCGGGAACUCCAGGGAGACUGCCGGUGAUGAGCCGGAGGAAGGCGGGGAUGACGUCAAGUCCUCAUGGCCCUUAUGGGCUGGGCUACACACGUGCUACAAUGGCGAUGACAAUGGCAGCAACCUUGCGAGAGGAAGCUAAUCCUAAAAGUCGUCUACG
rnacentral:rRNA from 1 species